CAGAAACGAAACUUACCAGUUCCUGACUGUUCUGUUUCAUUUAAGGGUUUUCAGGUUUUCAUGUGCAGGAUUAUUAUCUGUUUUUGAGAACAGUCGUGUGUUGUUUAUUUUGUGCAAUUUAUGCAAAUUAAUUAUGAAUUAAUUAAUUUUAACCAAAUCAGAUGAGUUAUUUUUUCAGACACACCUGUUUUCCACACGGCUUUUACAAACUGAACCAGGAAGUGUGAGCUGCUGUGAGUGAGUGUGUGCGAGUUUGUUUUUCAGUAAAAUGGCAGAAGCGAGUAUUUUAGAACUUCAGGAUCAGUUCAGCUGUUCAAUCUGUCUGGAUCUAUUCAAGGAUCCUGUAGGUCUUUCAUGUGGACACAGUUUCUGUAUGGUCUGCAUUAAUGGUUUCUGGGAUCAGGAGGCUCAGCAGGGAGUCUAUAGCUGUCCUCAGUGUAGACAAACCUUCACUCCAAGACCUGCUGUGAGUAAAAACAGUGUUCUAGCUAAAGUAGUGGAGACGCUGAAGAAGACAGGACAGGCUACAUGUCCUGCGCAGUCUUCAUCUGGACCUGAAGAUGUGGAGUGUGAUUCCUGCACUGAGAGUAAAUCCAAAGCCAUCAAGUCCUGCCUGGUGUGUCUGGCCUCUUUCUGUGAAACUCAUCUCCAGCCUCACUAUAAAUCUCCUGCCUUUAAGAAGCACAAGCUGGUGGAAGCCUCCAGCCGACUCCAGGAGCAGAUCUGCUCUCAGCAUGACAAACUGCUGGAGGUUUACUGUCGCACUGACCAGCAGUGUAUCUGCAUGUUGUGUACCAUGGAUGAACAUAAAGGACAUGAUACAGUAUCAGCUGCAACAGGAAAAGCUGAGAAACAGAAACAGUUCUCAGAAGUGCAGGAAACAUUCCUGCAGAAAAUUCAGGAGAGAGAGCAGGAGCUUCAGGAGCUAACAAAGGCUGUGGAGUCUCACAAGAGCUCUGCACAGACAGCAGUUCAGGAAACAGAGAAGAUAUUUACUGAUAUCAAAUCCAUUGAAAAAAGAUGCUCUGAGGUGACAGCACUGAUCAGAGCUCAGGAGAAAGCUGCAGUGAGUCAAGGUGAAGAAAUCAUGAAGAAACUGGAGCAGGAGAUUACAGAGCUGAAGAGGAGAGAAGCUGGGAUGAAGGAGCUUUUAUACACUGAGGAUCCCAUCCAGUACCUCCAGAGUUUUCAUUUUCUCGUAACCCCUCCUGGAGCUACAGAUUUACCCACCAUUGUGGCCAGUUCUUUCUUCUCUUUUGAUAAUGUAGUAAAAGCUGUGUCUGAGUCAAAAGUGGAGAUAGAAGCAUGCUUUGAAGAGCAGUUUAAGAAGAUAUCAAGUGAAGGGUUUGCAUGUUUUUCAAGUGCUUCUGGGAUUUCCUCUGGGUAUUCCGAUUUCCUCUCCAAGUCCAAAGUUCUGCUGCAGAGGGCAGCAGAAGUUAAUAGCUUCUUCCCUCCUCAUCUACCAUCUGUGGCAACAUCUGCUUAAGCACCUCAUUGAAGCAUUCUACAAGGCCGUCAACAUAGGGGAGGUAGAUAGAUGUCCUCAAGUGUCUCACUUGCAACAGCUGACACAGAUCACUCAUUUAAUGUGAUGCAAAGAGUUUACCUUGUUCUUUUAGGGUGUCUUUUCCAGGGUGCAGUGCAGUGGCAUUGUGGCUGGUGCUGACAGAAAGCUCAGACUUCCGUGUUCAUGCCAGACCACUGUAGCUACACAGUGAGUGAGAGUGUGCCAGGUGCAUCAGGAGCUAAACCUUUGUUCUGGGAACCACUAGCAGGUUGCAGGCCUGGCUCCAGUGUUCAGUGCAGUGGUAAAGUAGUCCCGCAUGUAGUUUUACCUCUGCUGCUGUGAGCACAUUGUGUGCCAGUUUGACUUCCUCUGAGAUAAAUAAAGCAAGUAGUGAGCCCAGUCCUUCAUGGUCAAGGCUCUAGGUUGUUGAGCAGAAGGUUAGGAUUCAAGCACCAGCACUGAAAGCUGCCCUCGAUUGGCCCCUGAGCAAGACUCUUAGCCUGUUUCUGCUCCGGGGCAGCUAUGUCAAUGCUGAUCCUCUGCCCUACUGGUAUAUACGAAGAAAUGAAUUCUGUUGUAAUGUGAUGUGUGCCAAUAAUACACCAAUCAGGCAUAACAUUAUGAGCACUGACAGAUGAAGUGAAUUACACAGUUCAAUUAACAGUGAAACUGUUAGUGGGUGGGAUAUAUUAGGCACCAAGUGAACAUUUAUUCCUCAAAGUUGAGGUUAGAAGCAGGAAAAAUGGGCAAGUGUAAGGAUUUGAGUGAGUUUGAUAAGGGUCAAAUUGUGAUGGACAGAUGACUGGAUCAGAGCAUCUCCAAAACUGUGGUUCUUGUGAGGUGCUCCAAGUCUGCAGUGGUCAGUAUCUAUCAAAAGUAUCCUUUAAGUUCUGUUAGUCCUUUAAGUCCUGUAAGUCUCCUUUAUGUGAGUUGCGAGGUGAGGCCCACAGAGGAUCUGCUGCUAACAUCUUGGUGCCAGAUACCACAGCACACCUUCAGGGAUCUAGUGAAGUCCAUGUUUCGCUGGGUCAGGGCUGUUUUGGCAGCAAAAGGUGGAACAACACAAUAUUAGGCAGGUGGUCCUAAUGUUUUGCCAGAUCGAUGUAAAGCCUUUCUCAAACAAUGCUGUUUUUGUGACAACUUUAAUAUGUCAGUGACCACUGUCUUGCGAUUAUUUAACUGAAGGGAUUUUUAAAUGAUUUAACUAUUUAUCUGCUCCAUACCCGGACACAAUUAGACUAUAAGUAGUUUCAACGUUUGAUGAGAAUGACACCUAUAUCAUCUGCAUAACUUUGGGAAGGAAUGUUGUUCUGUAUGAUUUGUCAUAAUAGAAGUAUAUAGAGUUUGAAUAAAAUGAGUUGAAGAAUGGGUCCAUCAUUCUGCUGAUGCCUUUAUAAGGGCAGUCCCAGAAACCUGAGAAAAAGUUGUCUAAUUACAUGACAAAAUGUAAUAGGUUUGUUGGAGACAACUUUCUCAAUUACUUUGCAUAUAAGGGAAGAUCUGCAGCAGGUCUGUAGUUGCUUAGUAUGGAUCCAGGGAUAUUUUCUUAAAGACAGACCUCAUCAAUGCUAUUUUUAAUGAUUGUCAGGGAGAGUAGGCUGAGAUAAAUUCAAGUGCAGUUUGUUUUUACUGAAAGACUGUGGUAGUUACAGUGGAAAAGUUAUAUUUUAUUCAGGCAAAAACAAUAACAAUAACUAUAACUAAUAACUAAGUAAAAAUAGUGUAUGUAUAAAUACACUUGGACACAUCAUCAUUAUCAUCCUCAUCUGAAUUACUUGUUAAACCCAGUGUGAUGCUUGCUUUUUUUAUUCAAUGCUCAAUUAGAUAAUUAUCUCCUACAUUAAUUCUGUUUGUGUGCCAUGACUAGGACUCAAACCUUUUGCACUCUAACCACUACGCUGUGCAGAGAAAUACUAACAGCAGAACACUGAUGGAAAUGAAAAGUCUUCACUUAUCCACUUAUCUUUUAAAUAAAUACAAACAAAAAAGUACAAGCAUCAAUGCAGGACUGAAGAUGGUAACAGUGGAUGCAACAUCUGUAGUGAAGAAAACCCUGAUCCUGUCACCCCAAAGCAGGGAGGAAUUUCUACAGUAUUUCUGUCAGCUCACACUGGAUCCCAACACAGCACAUGUACUUCUCCAACUGUCUGAUUCAAACAGAAU